rnacentral:sRNA from 1 species
AGCACUAUUCUAAUACAGAUUACAAAUUGAUUAAGAAAGGAAAGAGAAAAGAAAUCAGAAGAAAAGAUCAUACAAAGAGGGUUCUUAUAGAGGAAAGUUCAGAGCAGAAGAAUAUCAGAAGCCACUCCACAGUGAAGCACAGAGUGAAAGAACAUUAAGAGAUAUGCAUAAGAAUCAUUAGAAACUAUAUGAGUGCAGAGUGUGAGAUGGGGGAAUCAUUGAGAGCUACAUGAAAGAAUUGUUAGAGACUACACAAGUACAGAACAUGAAGUGGAAAAACAUUAGAAGUUACACAGAAGAAUCAUUAGAGACUAUAUAAGUGCAGAGCAUGAAGUGGAAGAACAUUAAGAGCUACACAGAAGAAUCAUUAGAAACUAUACAAACACAGAGCACAGAGCAGAAGAACAUCAAGGGUUACACAAGAUCACAACAGUCAGAAAUGAGCAGGUGCAGAAGGGGAGUUGAUUGUGUAAGAUAAUUACUAACGGGUGCUAACCCGUCACAUAUAUAAUCAUCAGCA